rnacentral:rRNA from 1 species
GACGAACGCUGGCGGCGUGCUUAACACAUGCAAGUCGAACGGAAAGGCCCUGCUUUUGUGGGGUGCUCGAGUGGCGAACGGGUGAGUAACACGUGAGUAACCUGCCCUUGACUUUGGGAUAACUUCAGGAAACUGGGGCUAAUACCGGAUAGGAGCUCCUGCUGCAUGGUGGGGGUUGGAAAGUUUCGGCGGUUGGGGAUGGACUCGCGGCUUAUCAGCUUGUUGGUGGGGUAGUGUCUUACCAAGGCUUUGACGGGUAGCCGGCCUGAGAGGGUGACCGGCCAAAUUGGGACUGAGAUACGGCCCAGACUCCUACGGGAGGCAGCAGUGGGGAAUAUUGCACAAUGGGCGGAAGCCUGAUGCAGCAACGCCGCGUGCGGGAUGACGGCCUUCGGGUUGUAAACCGCUUUCGCCUGUGACGAAGCGUGAGUGACGGUAAUGGGUAAAGAAGCACCGGCUAACUACGUG